GACGAACGCUGGCGGCGUGCUUAACACAUGCAAGUCGAACGGAAAGGCCCUGCUUUUGUGGGGUGCUCGAGUGGCGAACGGGUGAGUAACACGUGAGUAACCUGCCCUUGACUUUGGGAUAACUUCAGGAAACUGGGGCUAAUACCGGAUAGGAGCUCCUGCUGCAUGGUGGGGGUUGGAAAGUUUCGGCGGUUGGGGAUGGACUCGCGGCUUAUCAGCUUGUUGGUGGGGUAGUGGCUUACCAAGGCUUUGACGGGUAGCCGGCCUGAGAGGGUGACCGGCCACAUUGGGACUGAGAUACGGCCCAGACUCCUACGGGAGGCAGCAGUGGGGAAUAUUGCACAAUGGGCGGAAGCCUGGUGCAGCUACGCCGCGUGCGGGAUGACGGCCUUCGGGUUGUAAACCGCUUUCGCCUGUGACGAAGCGUGAGUGACGGUAAUGGGUAAAGAAGCACCGGCUAACUACGUGCCAGCAGCCGCGGUGAUACGUAGGGUGCGAGCGUUGUCCGGAUUUAUUGGGCGUAAAGGGCUCGUAGGUGGUUGAUCGCGUCGGAAGUGUAGUCUUGGGGCUUAACCCUGAGCGUGCUUUCGAUACGGGUUGACUUGAGGAAGGUAGGGGAGAAUGGAAUUCCUGGUGGAGCGGUGGAAUGCGCAGAUAUCAGGAGGAACACCAGUGGCGAAGGCGGUUCUCUGGGCCUUUCCUGACGCUGAGGAGCGAAAGCGUGGGGAGCGAACAGGCUUAGAUACCCUGGUAGUCCACGCUGUAAACGGUGGGUACUAGGUGUGGGGUCCAUUCCACGGGUUCCGUGCCGUAGCUAACGCUUUAAGUACCCCGCCUGGGGAGUACGGCCGCAAGGCUAAAACUCAAAGGAAUUGACGGGGCCCCGCACAAGCGGCGGAGCAUGCGGAUUAAUUCGAUGCAACGCGUAGAACCUUACCUGGGUUUGACAUGGAUCGGGAGUGCUCAGAGAUGGGUGUGCCUCUUUUGGGGUCGGUUCACAGGUGGUGCAUGGCUGUCGUCAGCUCGUGUCGUGAGAUGUUGGGUUAAGUCCCGCAACGAGCGCAACCCUUGUUCACUGUUGCCAGCACGUUAUGGUGGGGACUCAGUGGAGACCGCCGGGGUCAACUCGGAGGAAGGUGGGGAUGACGCCAAGUCAUCAUGCCCCUUAUGUCCAGGGCUUCACGCAUGCUACAAUGGCUGGUACAGAGAGUGGCGAGCCUGUGAGGGUGAGCGAAUCUCGGAAAGCCGGUCUCAGUUCGGAUUGGGGUCUGCAACUCGACCUCAUGAAGUCGGAGUCGCUAGUAAUCGCAGAUCAGCAACGCUGCGGUGAAUACGUUCCCGGGGCU
rnacentral:rRNA from 1 species